rnacentral:rRNA from 1 species
GGGUAAGUAGGUUGGUCGUGCCACCGGUACGUACUGGUCUCACUGAUUCCUCCUUCCUGAAGAACCGUAAUGCCAUUAAUUUGGUGUUGCGGGGAGACAGGACUGUUACUUUGAAAAAAUUAGAGUGUUUAAAGCAAGCUAACGCUUGAAUACAUUAUCAUGGAAUAAUGAAAUAGGACGAUCGAUCCUAUUUUGUUGGUUUCUAGGAUUGACGUA